GUAGGGGCAAGCGUUGUCCGGAAUUAUUGGGCGUAAAGCGCGCGCAGGCGGUUCUUUAAGUCUGAUGUGAAAUCUUGUGGCUCAACCACAAGCGGUCAUUGGAAACUGGGGAACUUGAGUACAGAAGAGGAGAGUGGAAUUCCACGUGUAGCGGUGAAAUGCGUAGAUAUGUGGAGGAACACCAGUGGCGAAGGCGACUCUCUGGUCUGUAACUGACGCUGAGGCGCGAAAGCGUGGGGGAGCAAACAGGAUUAGAUACCCUGGUAGUCCACGCCGUAAACGAUGAGUGCUAGGUGUUAGGGGGUUUCCGCCCCUUAGUGCUGCAGCUAACGCAUUAAGCACUCCGCCUGGGAGUACGGCCGCAAGGCUG
rnacentral:rRNA from 1 species